UAAGCCUGUGAAGGUGGCCUGUGAGGGUUGCUGGAGGUAUCAGAAGUGCGAAUGCUGACAUAAGUAACGAUAAAGCGGGUGAAAAGCCCGCUCGCCGGAAGACCAAGGGUUCCUGUCCAACGUUAAUCGGGGCAGGGUGAGUCGACCCCUAAGGCGAGGCCGAAAGGCGUAGUCGAUGGGAAACGGGUUAAUAUUCCCGUACUUGGUGUUACUGCGAAGGGGGGACGGAGAAGGCUAUGUUGGCCGGGCGACGGUUGUCCCGGUUUAAGCGUGUAGGUGUGUGUUCCAGGUAAAUCCGGUUCACUUUAACACUGAGGCGUGAUGACGAGGCACUACGG
rnacentral:rRNA from 1 species